GUUCUUGUGUAUAUGUAUCUGUGUGUAUUCUUUUCUCCUUUUCUUGUUCUAAUUGUUUCUCUUUUUAUUCUCCUUCUUCUGCUGAGUCAUGCUGAGUCAUUCCUGAUUUUCCUCUUUUCAAUCCACAUGGGUAUAUCUAUUAUGUUAGGGUAGGUGACUGGCUAUUUAAUAUGCACAGGCAGGCAGGUGAGUCAGGGGUCGUAGGGACAGGUGUCGUCAUGGAAGAGCUUCCACGUGUAGCUAUGAGAGCUUUGAAGGGCUAGGGAUUUAUGCAAGGGAGUUUGUGUCUCAGGCCUGGUUGGCUCUUCCGGUGCCUUACAUAGCUAAGGGUCCUACGGUCUUACAGUCUUACAUGUCCUGCAGUCUUAAUGCUUUCGGGGUUUGUUUGGGACAGCGCCGGGAUG
rnacentral:lncRNA from 1 species